UCGUCAUGUAGCUGAUGGCCUCGAGGUCGGCGUUCGCGACGAUGUGGUCGCAGAGCGCGUCGGCGGCCUCGUCGGUCUCCUCGGCGAUGAUGCA
rnacentral:tRNA from 1 species